GGUCUUAUAGUUAAAAUAAUAUUAGAUUGCAAAUCUAAAGAUGAAAAAUUGAUUUUUCUAAGGCUU
rnacentral:tRNA from 1 species